rnacentral:rRNA from 1 species
AUUGAACGCUGGCGGCAUGCCUUACACAUGCAAGUCGAACGGUAACGGGCCUUCGGGUGCCGACGAGUGGCGAACGGGUGAGUAAUACAUCGGAACGUGCCCGAUCGUGGGGGAUAACGAGGCGAAAGCUUUGCUAAUACCGCAUACGAUCUACGGAUGAAAGCAGGGGACCGCAAGGCCUUGCGCGGACGGAGUGGCCGAUGGCAGAUUAGGUAGUUGGUGGGAUAAAAGCUUACCAAGCCGACGAUCUGUAGCUGGUCUGAGAGGAUGAUCAGCCACACUGGGACUGAGACACGGCCCAGACUCCUACGGGAGGCAGCAGUGGGGAAUUUUGGACAAUGGGCGCAAGCCUGAUCCAGCCAUGCCGCGUGCAGGAUGAAGGCCUUCGGGUUGUAAACUGCUUUUGUACGGAACGAAAAGCCUUCUUUUAAUACAGGAGGGUCAUGACGGUACCGUAAGAAUAAGCACCGGCUAACUACGUG